rnacentral:rRNA from 1 species
AUUGAACGCUGGCGGCAUGCCUUACACAUGCAAGUCGAACGGUAACAGGUUAAGCUGACGAGUGGCGAACGGGUGAGUAAUGUAUCGGAACGUGCCCAGUCGUGGGGGAUAACUGCUCGAAAGAGCAGCUAAUACCGCAUACGACCUGAGGGUGAAAGCGGGGGCUCGCAAGACCUCGCGCGAUUGGAGCGGCCGCUAUCAGAUUAGGUAGUUGGUGAGGUAAAGGCUCACCAAGCCGACGAGCUGUAGCUGGUCUGAGAGGACGACCAGCCACCCUGGGGCGGAGACACGGCCCAUGCUCCUACGGGAGGCAGCAGUGGGGAAUGUUGGACAAUGGGCGCAAGCCUGAUCCAGCCAUGCCGCGUGCGGGAAGAAGGCCUUCGGGUUGUAAACCGCUUUUGUCAGGGAAGAAAAGGUUCUGGCUAAGACCUGGGACUCAUGACGGUACCUGAAGAAUAAGCACCGGCUAACUACGUG